rnacentral:tRNA from 1 species
GCAUCUUUAGUUUAAGGGUUAAAACAAGAAUCUUCGAAAUUCGAAAUUAAUGGUUCAAAUCCAUUAAGAUGUU